rnacentral:lncRNA from 1 species
GACUCUGGGCUAAAGCUCAUAAAGCUAGGAUUUUGGGCGCCAACUAUGAUAUAAAUUUUAGGGGUGCCAACUUUUAUCAGUUCUUUUUGGUCUAGUGGCUUGAGAUAUUCAAUUCCUAAUGAGAGAUGUUCGGUUCAAUAUAUAUUUUUGUCAUCCUUUUUUCCUUUUUUUUUAUAAUAACUGAAAGAAUUUUUUAUUCCGUAGUGACCAGUCUUAGUUUCCCGUUUUAUAUAUUCUUUUCAUUAAAUGAUACUAUUAGAUUAGUCAUAUAAAAUCAAAUAAAUCAACUAAUUUCCUUUUCUAUAUCGAUGACAUUUAUUAAGAGAAUUGAUUCAUCUUUUUUUCCUCUUCAUGUUUUUUGCUAGAACACUGAUUUGUAACAGAAUUCCAACAAAUUCGACCGUACUCUCUUUUUCUAUUGUCAAUAUAUCUCUUACGUUU